rnacentral:tRNA from 3 species
CAGAGUGUAGCUAAGAUAGAUACAGCAUCUCACUUACACCGAGAAGACGUCCGUGCAAGUCGGAUCACCCUGA